rnacentral:lncRNA from 1 species
GUGUGUGCAUCGAUGUGUCCGAAGGGGCCGCCGUGUCCCAGGAAGGGAGUGUGUACCGUGUGUGCAAGUUGGCGCGGACUCCACCAGAACGGCGGGUCCCUCCUCUGCCCUCCCUGAUUGCAUCAUUAGUGCUAAUUGAGGGGCUUUCACACGUCAGUGCUUUAGCUGUUUGGAGUGAGCUCCCCCCCUCCUGGGAGAGAUAAGUCGCUGCCCCUCCCCCCUCACCGGUCUCCGCUUCCCCACCGCCCCGACUCCGUUCCCUUACCGCUCUGGCACCCUCCUUUCUCCCGCUUCCCAGGAGCAGAAUCAUUUCAAAGAAUUGGAAGGCAUGAAAUGCUGUGCUAUGCCACUGCAGACUCCCAUUGUACAUCUGUCCAUCCACCCAAAGGCCAGGCAGGGUCUACAACUAAGACCUUGCAGGCCAGAGUCUGCUCCAAAUCGGUGGUGCUAUCUUCCGUGGUGCUAACACCUUCAGUCCAGGCCUCUUCUCCAAGGCUCCCAGCAGCCCUCAGACCAGUGUCUUGAGCUUGUACAAUAAGACUCAGUGCUUUGGACCCAGGAUGUUUCUUCCUCUCACCAUCUUUCCAGUGUCAUCCACCCCAUCCAAAACACUGACUUGGAUACCAAGGCCUGGGAAAGAGGCAGAUGGCCCAGACUCCAAAAUGCCUCUUUUCUUUGGAAGUAUCUCCUAGGUACCUUCUUGUCACAUGUGGUCAAGUUGUCCCAGCGCCUGGAUUAUAAUACAGUACAGUGUCAACCUUCUGGCAGUCUUCUGUAUUGAAACCCUUUUUCUUCUAGCCUGGGUCUCUUUUGGAGUAUUACUUUCCUGCUCAAAAACCUGGAGGAUAAACUGAACGGGCCCUCAGGCCUCUGAGCUGACCCUAGCCCUCUACCCAGCCCUUUACUCCCUUUAUUAUUCCCCCGGAGAAAGUCAAACUCCCUGGCCUGGCACCUCUCCUACUCCUGACGGCUGCCUUUAUUUACCCUUUGCCAUCAAUGCUGUCUCUUCCAGUUUCUCCUUCUUGAAAUGCCCUCUUCCAGCCUUUACGCUCCAUCUUCAAGGUCUCCUGGAAAGUAGUGAGAGAUGAUGCUUCUCUAACUGGGGUACCCAGGUCUGGGGUCUAGAGGGUGUAUUCUUGGCAUUAGGAAAUGUACAGAAUACAUUUGUCAGGUCUUAGAAAACUUGUGUAAAGAGCUUGGUACUUGGAAUCAGAGAUUCAGUCUCAGUUGGAUUCCCUUGGGCGAGUCAGUC